ACAGCCCUGAAGCUUCAGAAGAGGCUCACCUCCAGAGUCCUCUGCUGCUAAAAGGAGGACUGGUUAGACCUGGGCAAGACCAAUGUAAUCACCAAAACCAGUGCCCAUCAGCAGAUCCAGAAGCUGACAAAAGAUGGCCUGAACACCAGCAAGCCUGUGACUGUUCAUUCUAGGAUUGAUGCCAGAAAAAUACCUUGGUCCCCUGAAAGGGCAGCCAUAUAAGUGAAGGUAAGCAAAAGGGGACUGUCAAUGCUUGACUGCCUAAGAAGUUAACUUGAAUGUGAAGGAUGAGAUUUCUGCACCUGCUGCUCAGAAAAUGCUGUGGAUCUAGUUUAACCCCACAUGUUUCAUAGCUCAUACUUAAACACAAAAGGAAAUGUGUUCAAAAACAAGUGGAUUCUCAUGGAACAUGUCUACACGUUGAAGGCCUACAAGGGCUUCUGGCUGACUAGGCUGAGGCUCACAGGUCUAAGUUCAAAGGAGCAAGUAAGUACCAUGAGGAGCAUCUUCAGACCAAGAAGGAGGAGAUCAUCAAGGCUAAAUCAAGAAAUAAA
rnacentral:lncRNA from 1 species